UUUCUAUGACGAAUCACAUUAGCUCACUAUGACUUGUAAUGAAAAUACAUGGACUACUAAUA
rnacentral:snoRNA from 1 species